AGAGAGGGUUCGUGCCAGAAACCGCCAAGGCCGAGCCUGAAGUCCCUCCACAGGAGGGCGUGCCAGCGUGGCUGCCGAGGUCCUUAUGGACACCGCAGGGCAGGCGGGCGGCCACGCGGCUUCCAGCCCUCAGAUCUCCCAGCCGCAGAAGGGCCGGAAGCCCCGGGACCUAGAGCUUCCACUCAGCCCGAGCCUGCUAGGUGCGCCGGGACCCGAACGGACCCCAGGAUCGGGAACUGGCUCCGGCCUCCAGGCGCCGAGGCCGGCGCUGACCCUGUCCCUGCUUCCUACGCACACGUUGACCCCGGCGCUGCUGACACCCAGCUCGCUGCCUCCCAGCGUUCACUUCCGGAGCAGCCUGAGUCCCGCUGCGCCCCGCAGCCCGGCCAAGCUCUCCUGCCAGCUUCCGUCCAGUGGCGGCGCCCAGACAGGACAAUCGGGGUCUGACUUGAGAACGACCUUUCUUUCUUCAUUCCUCGGCCUGCCCGUGGGGAGAUGAGGGAGCCCUGUGUCCAUUUUAGGAUCCUCCACCAAGGGCCCAUCGGUCUUCCCCCUGGUGCCCUCCUCCAGGAGCGUCUCUGAGGGCACAGCGGCCCUGGGCUGCCUGGUCAAGGACUACUUCCCCGAACCGGUGACGGUGUCGUGGAACUCAGGGGCCCUGACCAGAAGCGUGCACACCUUCCCGGCUGUCCUACAGUCCUCAGGACUCUACUCCCUCAGCAGCGUGGUGACCGUGCCCUCCAGCAGCUUGGGCACCCAGACCUACACCUGCAACGUAGAUCACAAGCCCAG